rnacentral:SRP_RNA from 1 species
GCCGGGCGCGGUGGCUCACGCCUGUAAUCCCAGCACUUUGGGAGGCCGAGACGGGCGGAUCACAAGGUCAGGAGAUCGAGACCAUCCUGGCGAACACGGUGAAACCCCGUCUCUACUAAAAAAUACAAAAAACUAGCCGGGCGAGGUGGCGGGCGCCUGUAGUCCCAGCUACUCGGGAGGCUGAGGCAGNNNNNNNNNNCCCCGUCCCGGGUUCACGCAGUUCUCCUGCCUCAGCCUCCCGUGUAGCUGGGACUACAGGCGUCCGCCACCGCGCCCGGCUAAUUUUUGUAUUUUUAGUAGAGACGGGGGUUCAUCGUGUUAGCCAGGAUGGUCUGGAUCUCCUGAUCUCGUGAUCCGCCCGUCUCGG